rfam:Myceliophthora thermophila ATCC 42464 chromosome 2, complete sequence.
GCGGGUUUAGCUCAGUUGGGAGAGCGUCAGACUGAAGUCCAAACUUCAGGAACUUAAAUCUGAAGGUCGUGUGUUCGAUCCACACAAACCGCA